CUACGCAUCAUUAAAUAUAAUUAAAAAUUUUUUAACAACUGUGUUAAUUUAAUUGUUAUUUUAAACAUCUAUUAUUAUGAAUAAUUUAUAUGUGAUGUUAAACGUCCGUGGUGUAUAAAUUACCGAUUCCAAAUCAGAAAUAAUAUUCAAGCAUUUGAGCGGAUCGUUUAUCAAUAUCAAAUAUGUAUGAGUCUAAAACAUGGAUGUUAUUUAUUGUUGGACUAAGUGCUUUCAUGAUGAUGAUAAUGAUUGCGGAUGGCUGUCAAAAAUUGGGAGCAACGUGUUACUGGCAUCUUGUUAAUCCACUGAAUUGUUGUGAAGGCACUAAAUGUCUUAUAAAGAAUACAGGAUCCCGAGGAAUAUGUGUUUUAUCAGAUUUUAAAUAAUUAAUAUAAUAUACAAAAGAAGGUUUAAGGCAUGAUGGGCUAUUUCUAAAAUUUAUUAAUAUUUAAUGGUCGUCUAAAAUAGUAAAUUGUAUGACAAGGGAUGAAACAAAACGAUUUUAUACCAGGGUGUAGUUGACUAUCCGAGCCGUAGGUGAAGAGUGACAUGACCCGCAGUCUCAAGCCCGGUUUCAUCUUGAAUCACGCUAUAUUUUUCAUGAUUGCAGUGUGAGCAAUCAGUCAGAAACAAGUCACCCUGUUUAGAAAAUCUUAUAGAGUCUAAUAGAUUCUCAUAAAUUCCCAUAGAGAUUUUAUAAGAAUGAAUGCGUUCUAUAGAAAGUGCUACAGUUAAGUGUAGACUUAUACAUGCAGCUAUAAGAAUCUAUCGGAUUUUUUAAGCAAGGCAAUUUUAUACCAAUAACGUGAUCAACUAUUAGCGUAAAUGUAAAUUGUGACUUGAAAUUUAUAAUUAAACAGAAACUAUAAAUACUAUUGUUUCUUCUCAAAAAGCGAAAUACAUUUGGUUCUACCCGCUUUGGACUGAAAUUGGUUUGUUUCGACUGACUGUAGAUAUACUAAUUCUUGAACUUUCGAUGCUAGUAUCAUAAAAAUGAAUAUUUUUAUUCUAUCUUGUCCAUUGGUUUAAAAACUUUGUUAUAAAAAAAGCAUUUUAUUGGAAAAAUAUUUCCUUUUUUUUUUUUGGCAAUUGCUAAGAUUGGCCAACGUGCCAAUUUCAAGAAUAUAUUAAUAAAUCCAGUAGUUAUUAAAAAUCACUUUUCGAUUUCUUACGUGAGUAGUGCUGUAAUAGUGAAGAGUACUAUUUGAUUCAAGAGGCUUAUUACUUUCAAAUAAAUUGUAGUCAAUAUAUCUAUCAUCUUCGUUUUUUGUGAUAAAUAUUAAAUUAGGCAGAAUAACAUUUUAUUGUUCAGUACAGCCAUAAAAUGGUAACGUAUAAAAAAUAAUGUAAGAAAAUAAUUAUAUUUUUUAUUUAUAUGCCGUUUAUAGAAUUACCUUUUAGGCAAAAAGUAUCUUGAGGUGACAUUUCAAUUCCGGUUCCGAAUCUUCUCAUUAGUCAUGUCUAACCUAUUCUACCUUAGGUUGUUUUUUAAUUUACACUCGAAUUCGAUUAACUCGGACAGUUAGUCUAUGGUGGAAGAUAACGUGGUUCGUAGUGGGAGUCAAGAUUGAGGGGAAGUUCCAAGUUAAUAGAAUUCGACUGUAAUUAAACCGGAAGUUUACUUAUGUAUACCAAAUAUCAAAACUGUCAGCUGUUUCCUUUUCCGCUUUUCAUCUUACGGCGAUCAUGAAUUUACUUUAUAAAAUAUUAUAUUAUGAUUGUAUGCAAUCAUUUUAAAUGCUACUAAAAUCCAAUUCUUAAUAGCCCAUCUUGCCCCAUUUUAACAUAUAUAAAGUAUUUAUCAACUAUAAGAAAAAUAUUUACUGAGAUGUUAAUAAAAAAAAAUGACAAUGAAAAAUUAAAGGGCCUCAAAAAUAAAUUUAUUAU